UUGCUGCUUGCGGGUCACGUACGACCGGGACGUGGGCAUGAGGGCUGUCUCGCCUGCGGGUGACACGGACCUGCCAGCUACCUUUUAGGUGCAAGGCAGCUGGGCAGGAGGCAGGUGGUCGCCUGGCGUGCGGGCGGGGGAGAGAUGGCAGGAAGAGUUUCACGAGGGGUGGGCGGCGGCGGCGAGCGGGAACACCGCUUAGGUGGUUGUAUCUACGAGCCGCAGGCGGGUGAACCACGCACGGUCCAAUCUCGUUAAGUCCAACGCAUCCCUCUUAGAACGAUGGGACCACAGCCACGGCGCACCACUGUCCCGCAUCCGCCACCCACGUGGCCGUGCUGCGGAAGAAAGCUGACCAAGUCGGACUCUGGGCAACGUGUGGGGCCCCCCAAAGGCGUGACAGGUCAGCUCCAUGGGUCUACACACUUGGAAAUGCCAACACUGAACUUUGGCUCAAACUUUGUCCAACUAUCCCCGUGAGCGAUGGCUCAACCCUCUGAGCAUCCAACUGAAUGGGCCAACUGGGUCGCGACCGUCCACUCACUCCCCUCCGACCCCAGUGCCGGGUCAGCCAUUGGGCUGGGGUCACGCCAAUCAAGGUUGCCUGGCGAAUGAGCAGGGGGCGUCCGACCGGAAACCGGAUAUGAAUGGGAGGUCCAAUAGGGGGCGCCGCGUUGGAACGCCCUAAGAGGUUGUGCUGCUGGGGUGGUUGGAAGCGGUUGGUGGGCGGGCGUAUGGCGGCCAGGCCUGGGACGCCUCGAGGCCGGCUGGCGCCGUGGGGUCACUCUUCCUGAUGCCACAAGUCACAAAGGCUGGAAGGGAAGGUUGGGGGCUGACAGGGGUCAACCCUAGGUCUCGCAGGUGGCGGUGGGCCAACCCUCCCGUCCGGGGGAACCGCUGCUGAGACCAGGCGAGAAGGAAGAAAAUGUCCAGGGCCUGGAGGUAGAGGGCCAGGACCCUGAGGAGGGAGAGGGCUCACUGCCCCGAUGCAGAGGAGCAGUCCCAGACGGAAAAGGAGUUGAGGCCCCAGGGAUGCUGCGCCCUGCCGAAGUAGAAGGGACUGGCCACCAGAAUCUGAAACCUCAAAUCACUCACGUGAGGGGGUUCAAAGCUGAAAGCAUCACAGAUCAGCAGUGGGACUUGAGACGCCUCAGAAGUGCGUCCAGAUGUUUGAGGAGCUGGCCAACGUGAACGGCAGCUGGCGGGCCUGGCCACGGGGACCUGAGGACCCCGCUAUGAUACAUGCUUUCCCCUACACCAUGGUUUCUGCUCAGUUUCCUCUCAAUAGCUUCCGUCUGCAGGAAGAGCGGCGAUAACACAGGUCCGUGCGCAAACAGCCCCAGACCUCUCCAGCCAGGCUGCACCCGGCCCCGCCGCCAGAUCAGCUGCGCCGAAAGGGAGCCAGGAUCAGAAGUGAACCCUGUUCCCGUGUACAGAGCCGUUAGGAGGUGUCUUCCCGGAGUGGCCUUGCCGUCCCUUGGGUUUGUGCUCUACCGAGGUUCUCCCGCCAAUCCGACACCCACCCACCAGCCUCCCUGCCCACCCUCCUCCGCCACAGGAGCGAUUUCUAGGCUCCUGAUCCAACGGGAAGGGUCUGGAAGCUCCCUCAUGGAGACAGAGCAUACGCUUGGGCCUGCAGGUUCUUGUUGGUCAUGGUGCCUGCCUUGCCCUGCUUUGGCCCUAGCUCUCCGCUUCCAUAUGGUCCCUGGUUCGCACUCUGGACUCUGGCCAUUUGCCUGGCCUUCGUCCUGUCGAAAUCAGGUAGGGUUCAGCCCAUCUGCCCACCCCCAACUGACACUGUAGCUCGUCUGGUUCUUUCCCACGGACGGCUGACACCUCAGUGUCCCAAGUCGCCCGCAGUCCAGGUGGUUCUAGUCUCAGACGUGCCCCCUGCCCUGCACAGCAGGCUCGUCCUGUGGCUGGUGGGCUGCUGCUUGCAGAGGACUGGGCCACCCGGAACGUCCUCCGGUGCGUGGUUUUCCUUUGCGUCCCGCUCUCCUGGCCACCCCACCUCUUCCUCCAGCCAGCAGCACUGACACAGAGCCUCAACGUUGUUUUUCUCCCAUCCGCCGAGACUCUGACUCACCCCUUCAGACUUGGUGGGGGAGUGAGCAAGCGAGCAGUGAGCCCAGAGGGGAGAAACUCUUAGUUGGUGUCGUGGUUCAGGCUCACGCUCAUAGAAGCCCUUUCCGCUCGAGCUCUUCAAAAUAUGAUUAGACCAAUUUUACACAUCUAGUCACUGAGGCUCUGGCAGAUUGGGACUGUUUCUAUACGUGCGAAGUGAAGUGGGGAAUUGAGGCAAUUAUCUUCAGGCAAAUGGCUCUGGGCUCUGUAAUCAGGCCGUCCUGGUAACGGGGGGGGGGGGGGGGGGGGGGGGAUCAGCCUCAUUCACUGUAGCGCUGCUUUGAGUUCAAGAGGAUUCGAGGCAUUGUUUGUUGUUUGAGCCGGGCUUUGUUUCUCCAAAAGGCGGUCGGUCGGUCUGGUGAAGCUGCAUCCGGCCCGGCGCAGGUGUCGGGGUGUGUGGCUCCCUUUGGUUUUACGGGGCGCCGUGGCCCAGGCGGACGUGGGGGAGAGUGAUGCGGCGCUGUAGGCAAUCAACAGCGCCCACCUCCGCUUCCGGUGGGGGCGGCCCUGGGUUCGCCUUGUCUUUUCUCCCCGGCCCUUCCCUCCUCCCGAGACACGUGGCCCCGGCGAUCUCCAGGCCCGUCCCCGUGCGGGGACCCUACAGAUUCCAGCGGGGCCCACGGUUGGGACACCACGCCGCACGUGCUAAAGGCAAUGUCCUAAAACUCGGGAGAAUAACAGCAGAAGUGAGCAAAAUCAGAAACGAAAACUCCUAGCCCGGCCGUGGCUUCUCCCCCUUCCACUCAUGGUUUUGGCUGCAAAUCAUUGUCCGUUGGGAGUUUUUCCCUUUGCUGGUCUAGACGCGGCCUCACGGCCAGCCGUCUCUUCCCUCACGGAACGAGAGAGAGAAGACUCGUGUUUUUCCAACGCGCAGAGGUCUCUUUUGCUUUGAGGCCAGUGCAGCCUUCAAUCCCAAUUGCCCUUCAGAACAGUCCUUGUCAUUAGGAAGCUAACCAGCAGGUAACCCGGGCCGCGUGGGGCCUGCUGGGUGACACGGGGCGCAGGGCCCUGGCCAGGGAGCCCGGCCGGAAGAUCCGUGUCCGUCCGCCUCUCACAUCUCCCUCACCCACACUCAUGCGUAGAGUCCGACAAGAGGAUGUCAUUAAUAAACACGCCAGCAAGGAGACAGUGGGGCUUGAGAUGGCCGUGGGAAAACACAGAGGAAGCAGAAAGGUGUUUUGUUUUUCUUUUUUCCGAUUGUCGGAAACCUUCAUCUUUGUCGCUUUGAAAUUUCCUGAUGUUGCUUAAUUAGUUAAACCUAAAACUUCCUGUCCACACUUGAGAUAAGAGGGUUUUGAAAAACAUCCAGCCAGACUAUUGUGGCAUAAUGUGGCUUGUGUAUUUUUUUUUUUUUUUAAAGCUGAUAGCUAGUUUAUUCCUGCUCCGUUUGUUAGAUCGUAACAUCUUUCCCCAGUGUUUUGCUGUGAUUGGUUUGCAGCCUUAAUGAUCAUUGUUUUAUACUGUAUUUUAAGAUCUGCUGGGGCAAAUGCCUUCUUACGGCAUACUAUCUCAGAACCCUCUGAUAGUUUUGCCCAUUUAUUUUCCUCUAGAAUUUAAGAACCAUUUUUAUCAAGUUCUGUAAUGACCUUGGUGAUAUUUUGACUGGAAUUGCAUUCACUCUAUAAAUUAAGUUGGGGAAGACUGUCAUCUUUUCUGCAUUGAGCCUUAGGCCCCAGUAUGACCUCACUCUUCAUUUACUUGAGUUUCUGUCUCUCUCAUUAAGGAUUUGUGUUUUCUUGACAUGAUUCUGGUACAUCACAUGUAGAGUCUGAGAUGUGAAAAUAUAUCCUGUAUCUCCCAAGCAUUUGCUACUUGUGUUGCCAUUGUGAAAGGGCUCUCUUUUUUUAUUAUAUUUUCGGGCUGUUUAUUAUGUGUUUAUAGGAACAGUAUUGAUUUGGGGGCGUUUUUCUCAGAUUCGGCGACUUUUAGAAUUGGUUGGUUUAGGAGGCAGCCAGCAGCCUGCUCAAGCAAACCCUCAGUGAAGGGUGCAGAGGAUUUUGUCGAAGGGAUUCCUGCGUGAGGGAGAGAGGUGAAGUCAGUGAUCCAUCCUUCCUUCCUUCCUUCCUUCCUUCCUUCCUUCCAAGAUUUUAAGGAAUCUCUACACCCAAAGUGGGGCUUGAACUCCCACCCCAAGAUCAAGAAUCCCACGCUUCCUGACUGAGCCAGCCAGGGGCCCCCGAAGACUGUUCUUGAUAAUGGGAUCUACAUAAGCUUCCUUCCUCUUAGUAUUUCACUGUCCUCUCUUCUUGAAUCACAAUAGAUAGUAAUUUGAGUUUUUUGUUUUAAGAUUUUUGAGAGUUUUUUAGGUUCUUUUUUCAAAAUUUUGUUUUCAUUUCAUUUUUUUAAACGAUUUUACUUAACAUUAAAAAAAAUAAGUUGGGGGGCGCCUGGGUGGCGCAGUCGGUUAAGCGUCCGACUUCAGCCAGGUCACGAUCUCGCGGUCCGGGAGUUCGAGCCCCGCGUCGGGCUCUGGGCUGAUGGCUCAGAGCCUGGAGCCUGUUUCCGAUUCUGCGUCUCCCUCUCUCUCUGCCCCUCCCCCGUUCAUGCUCUGUCUCUCUCUGUCCCAAAAAUAAAUAAUAAAACGUUGAAAAAAAAAAUUAAAAAAAAUUAAAAAAAAAAAAAGUUGGCAACCCCAGGUUGGCAGCUCACAUUUCUUUGAAAUUUUAGCAUUGUCUGAAAUCUCUAAAUCAGGAACUUCCAGCCCAUGUCCUCUUGGACUGUAUAGUUUGUAAUAUUUGGUCAUUCUGGGCUUUUUUUUUUUAAAAGGUCUUUUAAAACGUGUAUUAUUUU